GUGGAGCUCUUUCCCUCCUGGUGCC
rnacentral:piRNA from 1 species